rnacentral:piRNA from 1 species
UUGCAUUGAUUUUUAGAGAUUUUCACCU